rnacentral:rRNA from 1 species
GACGAACGCUGGCGGCGUGCUUAACACAUGCAAGUCGAACGGAAAGGCCCUGCUUUUGUGGGGUGCUCGAGUGGCGAACGGGUGAGUAACACGUGAGUAACCUGCCCUUGACUUUGGGAUAACUUCAGGAAACUGGGGCUAAUACCGGAUAGGAGCUCCUGCUGCAUGGUGGGGGUUGGAAAGUUUCGGCGGUUGGGGAUGGACUCGCGGCUUAUCAGCUUGUUGGUGGGGUAGUGGCUUACCAAGGCUUUGACGGGUAGCCGGCCUGAGAGGGUGACCGGCCACAUUGGGACUGAGAUACGGCGCAGACUCCUACGGGAGGCAGCAGUGGGGAAUAUUGCACAAUGGGCGGAAGCCUGAUGCAGCAACGCCGCGUGCGGGAUGACGGCCUUCGGGUUGGAAACCGAUUUCGCCUGUGACGAAGCGUGAGUGACGGUAAUGGGUAAAGAAGCACCGGCUAACUACGUG